AAAGUUUUGAAAGUUAUAUCGGACAACAGUGAAGGACCAAAUGAAGGCGAUUCCUUCUUCGAGUUCAGCUACCGUGUUAUGGCCAAGAGGUGGAAGCAAUUGAGAGAGGCAGUGCAACAGAGUGGGCUAUUUAGUGUGUCAGACUUCCCUCCCCAGCUUUGCAUGUUUCUCAACAGGGUCUUCGAGCCUCAGCCUGGUAAGAAAAGGAAAAAGAAGGUUAAGUGCAUCAAUGUGAUACCCCUGGUCCUGCGGACUAACCUGAACUCUAUCCUUUGCAGCAUUCGCAUGGAUAAAGUGCGAAGGAGAUAUUGAUAAUUGCGAAAGC
rnacentral:lncRNA from 1 species